GGAUCAUCAGCUGUUUUACCAUGGAGAAGCACAUCAAAGGAUUCUGACCACUUCUUACAAGUGCGCCCUUGUGUUGAUCAUUCUCAGCCUGCAUGUUCAUNNNNNCAAGUUACCUUUGGUUCUGGCUAUGCAUUUGGAAAGGAGCAGCCUUUCAUUGAUCAAGGCUUGCUCACUAGACAGAAUACUUUGAAGCAGGGAAGUAAAAUGCCUAACACUUUUAAGUUGAAUCAGCUGGAGAAGAAAGAUGCUCUUUUUUUGUUGUUCUUCUAGUAGUGGAAGUAAACUGUUUUGGCUUAGUGUAGGCACUGAUGCCUCAAUUCUUCACACUGAACUUAAUUCUCCCAUAUAUGAUUGGAGAAUAUCUAUCAACUCUCCGUUGAAGUUGGAAAACCAACUUCCUUGCCCGGCUGAAUUCACAAUUUGGGAAAAAACGCAUGACGAGGGUUGCAUUGAGCGACAACAUGGAAUGAUCUCUUCACGCAGUGGUGUACAUAUAUACUCAGCAGAUAUCCAAAAACCAAUCUAUCUCACAUUGCUUGUUCAGGGUGGUUGGCUUUUAGAAAAGGACCCUGUUCUUGUUCUGGAUCUUCCUUCCAGUGAUCAUGUCUCAUCAUUCUGGAUGUUCCACCAGCAAAGUAAAAGGAGACUGCGUGUGAGCAUUGAACGAGAUAUGGGAGGAACCAUUGCUGCACCCAAAACAAUUAGGUUAUUUGUUCCUUACUGGAUA
rnacentral:misc_RNA from 1 species